GGUCAGGCUGGCAAAAUACGAUGACUGCGGGCCAAAUAGGAGCUUGCGUGCCUCAGCAUUGCUUGCGACACUUGCAAAGUUUCCACUGGAGAUCAAACUAGGAUGUUAUUACUCAUGACAACAUCAGAGAAAUGAUCACCUCAGCCCUAACAGUUUCACAUUUUUGAUUGUAUUUCUCAUUACGAUGACAAUCCAGGUCCAGAAAUGAAAGUCCGUGCCACGGUUCGGCUUUAGCCGCAGAUGCCUCCAAUCAAGCUCCGACAAGCACCUCCGGACCCGGCCGGACCUUCCUGGACCUGGAUCCAAAGAAGCCGUCGCACGGCUGUACAUGUUGUCGCCUGCAAAAUGAGAAGAACAGCAGAUGCGCGUUCAAGGCCGAGUGUUUCCCUCCGCAAAUGGGAGGCGGGCGAGCGGGCGGGCGGGCGGGAGUCCACCUUUGAGUUCGUCGGCGGCAAAGAAGGCGGCUAGGCAGUCCUCCAAGGUCACCAUGGGCCCCCAGAACCAGCUGGGUAUGCACGAGACCACGAACCUAGCCCCGAGCAGACGCCACGUUAGCCACGUUAGCGCCGGCGAAGGUCGGCGGCGUCGUUGUGACCGACCGGCGAAUGGAAUCCAUGAUGAAGGAGAUCCAGCCCUGCGAGCCGUACGCGUCGGGACACGCGUUGGUCUUGACGGGCAGGUUCUGAUGGAUGGAGGAGUGGAGCUUGGCCAAGUCCUCUUUACCAGGGAUGGGCAAGGACAGGUCUUGGAAGGUCUCCACUGUCGUAGACACCUGCCGGGCGGCGGCGCAAUUCUCGUACCCGUGGACGAUGUCGCUGGAUGAAGUCACUCACCCUGUCGCAGGUCAGACACUGGACCAGGCUGAGGAUGGAGCCGUCAAAGAUGUCGGAGAUGACGCUGCGAUAGAGACACUGUUUCUUCUUCCGGGAGGUCAGCGGCGGAUGAUAUUUGAAUAACUGGAGCGAGCCACCUUUCUUGUACGGGUACGAGGAGGCUGCGGAGCGCAGCGGGCUGGAGGAGCGUUUGGAAUGAAGCUCCUGAAGGGUUCUCACAGGGCUGCAGGGGCUGGAAUGCGGUGGCGGCGGCGGCCCCACUUCGUUGUCCGGCUCUGGUCAAAUGCAUUUGGUUUGCAUCAUUUUCUGAAAAAGAAGCUCCUGCACCAGCUCUUCCUCCUCAGCGCUCGCGGGAACCGCGGUGUCCACGUCGGCGUCCUCGUCCAUGUCCUGGGAGGUUCCGCGAAGGGGCGAGCCGGAGACCCGCCUCUCCUUCAGCCUCUCCUUUUCCGAGAUGCCGCCGCCCACGGGGCCGUCGCGUUCGUCCUGCGCCUCGCCGCCGCGGUCGGAGCUGGAGUCGCAGGACAGGAAGUCUUCCUCGACAGGCGAGCGGUCGCCGUCCAGCCUCUCGUCGCCGUCGCUACUCUCGCCGCCGCACUCGGUGAGUGGCGCCUUCAGUUCCUCGUGGAGCUGGUCCAUCAGACAGCGCAGGAACUCUUGCGUGUCCUUUUGCACAGUGACAAGUCAUUGCCGGAUGGAGACGAGCGAUUGGGGAAAGUGCUUACCUGUUGGGCGUAACCGCGAAACAUUGGGUUCAGAAGCUUGAUGCCGUGGGACAGGCUGGUCGGGAUCACGUAGCUGGGCCUGCAAAAGCGUGGUCAGACACCCGGCCUCGCCGCCAAAAUGCUUUUGAUGACUUACCGAUUUUUAUGCCACAGCUCCGAGAUGAGUUUCUGGUAGCACUUGCAGAGAGCCGGCUUCUUGUCGGAGCGGACCAGCCCGGCGCAAUCCAGGAAGUACUGCGUGAGAGGAGGACUG